rnacentral:rRNA from 1 species
CCAGCAGCCGCGGUAAUUCCAGCUCCAAUAGCGUAUAUUAAAGUUGUUGCAGUUAAAAAGCUCGUAGUUGAAUUUUGGGCUCAGCUGAGUGGUCUAGCCUAACGGUUAGUACUGCUUCGGUUGGGCCUUUCCUUCUGGCUAGCCAGUGUGCUCUUAAUUGGGUGCGCUGGGGAACCAGGACUUUUACUGUGAAAAAAUUAGAGUGUUUAAAGCAGGCUUACGCUUGAAUACAUUAGCAUGGAAUAAUAGAAUAGGACUUUGGUUCUAUUUUGUUGGUUUCUAGGACCGAAGUAAUGAUUAAUAGGGAUAGUUGGGGGCAUUAGUAUUUAAUUGUCAGAGGUGAAAUUCUUGGAUUUAUGAAAGACUAACUUCUGCGAAAGCAUUUGCCAAGGAUGUUUUCAUCAAUCAAGAACGAAAGU